ACUUUGUAAAAUUCAUUUCCUAGUAUGACAAUGAAUACGGCUACAGCAACAGAGUGGUAAACCUCAUGGCCUACAUGGCCUCCAAGAAGUAAGAAACCCUGGACCACGCACCCCAGCCCAGCAAGGAUACUGAGAGCAAGAGAGAGGCCCUCAGUUGCUGAGGAGUCCCCAUCCCAACUCAGCCCCCAACACUGAGCAUCUUCCUCACAAUUCCAUCCCAGACCCCAUAAUGACAGGAGGGGCCUAGGGAGCCCUCCCUUCUCUCUUGAAUACCAUCAAUAAAGUUCACUGCACCC
rnacentral:lncRNA from 1 species